GGCACGUAAAAAGAGAUGCUCUUCACACAAGUACUUUGCAUGCUGUCAUACAUAGACAUCAGAGAAAGAACGGCUAGGACUGGAAUGAUCCGGAGACAAGCAACUGCCCCCUGAAACAGUGAAAAUACAAAUCAUUUGUUCAGUUGUACAAGUCUUGACAGAACCCAAAAGCAUGUAGAGGUGGACAAACUGAAGCAUAGAGGGAAGAAACACUGUGUUUAUAUGGCAUGCCACUGACAGAGAUCAUUGAUGAGCAAGUCCUGGCAGAACCCAAUGCAGAUCCAAGAAGUGCACUGCUGAGAACUCAUUUUGAUCAAAGAACAGGACGUAGCUUCUGCUAUCAAAACUCAACAGAGCUACAGUUUUAAAAAGGAGUCAUUUCUUUUGUGAGGAAGAACCAACAAAAAGGCUUUUUCUGGAAAACAACCUAUGAAACAUUAUAUUUCUCUAAAAACUGGAGGAGUGACCACACAUCUCUGCAUAAUUUGUCAGGGAAAUAGGGGAGGUCUGUAUCAACUUCCUCAUUUUUUGAUAUCUGUCACUUUUCUCCAGCAUAAAAUACUGCUUGGACAGUAGCUCAUUAUUUAUUGCUUCUAUCUUUGGCAUGCUGACAUAGUUUGCUUCUCUUUGGUUUCUG